GACGAACGCUGGCGGCGUGCUUAACACAUGCAAGUCGAACGGGCCUUGUCCCCUUUUUUUUUGGGGGUGGGGUUAGUGGCGAACGGGUGAGUAACACGUGAGUAACCUGCCCCUCACUUCUGGAUAACCGCUUGAAAGGGUGGCUAAUACGGGGUGUUCUGGCCUGCUCGCAUGGGUGGGUUUGGAAAGAUUCGACCGGUUUUGGUUGUUUUGGUGGGGGAUGGGCUCGCGGCCUAUCAGCUUGUUGGUGGGGUGAUGACCUGCCAAGGCUUUGACGGGUAGCCGGCCUGAGAGGGUGGGCGGUCACACUGGGACUGAGACACGGCCCAGACUCCUACGGGAGGCAGCAGUGGGGAAUAUUGCACAAUGGGCGCAAGCCUGAUGCAGCGACGCCGCGUGAGGGAUGGAGGCCUUCGGGUUGUGAACCUCUUUCGCCAGUGAAGAAGGUCCUGCUCUUUGUGGUGGGGUUGACGGUAGCUGGGUUAAUGAAGCGCCGGCUAACUACGUG
rnacentral:rRNA from 1 species